UACGUAGGUGGCAAGCGUUGUCCGGAUUUACUGGGCGUAAAGGGCGUGCAGGCGGUUUGUUAAGUUCAGGGUGAAAGCUCCCGGCUCAACUGGGAGAGGUCCUUGGAUACUGGCAGACUUGAGGAGGGUAGAGGAGAGUGGAAUUCCCGGUGUAGUGGUGAUAUGCGUAGAUAUCGGGAGGAACACCGGUGGCGAAGGCGGCGACCUGGGUAGAUACUGACGCUGAGGCGCGAAAGCGUGGGGAGCAAACAGG
rnacentral:rRNA from 1 species